CAGUCCUUUAAAACUGCCAUUCCCUCCAGUCUGCUCACAAAGCUCAAUAACCCUGGCAUCAGCACCUCUGUGUAAUUGGAUUUUGGAUUUUCUAAACACCUGACAUUAAUCUGUUACAAUUUUCUCCCUACAUAAGUGAUUGUAUGCCUAUGCACGACUCUAAUGUCAUCAUUAAGCCGAUAGUCAAAGUUGAUUGAGUCCAGAGAUCACACACCGUCUCACAGCUCAGUAGCAGCUCAGUCAGAAGGCCUUGCAACGAGUUGUGAAGUCUGCCCAGUGAAUCCUCAGCACCCGGUUUCCUGUUAUCGAUGCUAUCGGUACGUACAGGGCCUGCAGAGCGCGUGGAGUGUAUCGUCAAGGACACCACUCACCCAAGCAAUGGACCGUUCCCUGCUACCAUCAGCGGCGUGUCCCAGGAGUGAAGGAAGGCCCAUAAUAAAGGCAAAGAAAGAAGACAGAAGUGCAUUGGAGAGAGGGGGAGAAGGUCCUUAAUCAGUCUAACACCACAAGUGGAGCAUGGUUUCAUUUCCGCAGGAAGACGACCUCCUCUUAUUGCCGCCAUGAGCAAAGGCGGAUCUCUUCUUGGUUUCCCUUGAGCUGCAAUCAAUAUUGAUGACCAUCUGUCAGCAUGAAGCCACUACACCAGC
ensembl:lncRNA